rnacentral:lncRNA from 10 species
CUUUUAACCAAAUGUAUUUUUUCUCACCUAGAGGCCAUUAAGCUUCAAAUGAUCAUGCAGCAGGGCUUCUAUCCAGGGAAUGAUGCCAGCCCCGGCCAACAAGAAGUCAUCCUGUCUCCACUAGACAGAGCAGGGUGAGAGUUCCAUGGUCCCCAAGUAGAUAGGGACAGUGCCCCAAACAGCAUGAAGCAGUUACAGAAGAAAGACUGUCAGUCCCUCUACCUCCUGUAAAUAUUUGAUAUUAAGUCUCUCAAGGGGGAAUGAGGCAGGAGAAUAGGAUCUGGAGACAGGGAGCCUUCACUUUAGCCUCUGAUUGGUCGCAGGCGAAAUCUUCAUUUGCAUAGGGUGUAAUUUCACUUCAGCCUCCAAUUGGUCAUGGGCUACGUCUUCAUUUACAAAGGGUGUAACCAAUAGGAAACCUCUAAAGGGUACUCAAACCCAAGAAGAUUUUGCAACUGGGGUGCUUGAGCCUCUUGCCC